UACGUAGGGGGCUAGCGUUGUCCGGAAUCAUUGGGGCGUAAAGAGCGUGUAGGCGGUCCGGUAAGUCCGCUGUGAAAGUCGGGGGCUCAACCCUCGAAUGCCGGUGGAUACUGUCGGGCUAGAGUGCGGAAGAGGCGAGUGGAAUCCUGGUGUAGCGGUGAAAUGCGCAGAGUAUCAGGAGGAACACCGGGUGGCGGAAGGCUGGGUCCUCUGGGCCGACAUUGACGCUGGAGGAGCGGAAAGCGUGGGGAGC
rnacentral:rRNA from 1 species